CAACAGAGCUCUGUCUGACAAAGAGGCGCAGAAAAUCUUUCAGGAAAGUUUGAGGAGCAUCGCUGGAGGAGGAGAGUGUCACAACAUCACUUUCAUCUGCACCAAAACAGACAUCAUCAAUCCAAAAGAGUUAAAAAAGAAUGACAAAAUCACUGAUGAGAAACUUCAAAUCAGUGAAUUCAAGGACUCUCCAGAUUUUAAAAAAAGGGAGAAACAGGCAUGUAUUCGGUACCGUAAUGAGAAGACUAAAGAAAAGUUC